AUUGAACGCUGGCGGCAGGCCUAACACAUGCAAGUCGAGCGGAUGAAGGGAGCUUGCUCCUGGAUUCAGCGGCGGACGGGUGAGUAAUGCCUAGGAAUCUGCCUGGUAGUGGGGGAUAACGUCCGGAAACGGGCGCUAAUACCGCAUACGUCCUGAGGGAGAAAGUGGGGGAUCUUCGACCUCACGCUAUCAGAUGAGCCUAGGUCGGAUUAGCUAGUUGGUGGGGUAAAGGCCUACCAAGGCGACGAUCCGUAACUGGUCUGAGAGGAUGAUCAGUCACACUGGAACUGAGACACGGUCCAGGCUCCUACGGGAGGCAGCAGUGGGGAAUAUUGGACAAUGGGCGAAAGCCUGAUCCAGCCAUGCCGCGUGUGUGAAGAAGGUCUUCGGAUUGUAAAGCACUUUAAGUUGGGAGGAAGGGCAGUAAGUUAAUACCUUGCUGUUUUGACGUUACCAACAGAAUAAGCACCGGCUAACUUCGUG
rnacentral:rRNA from 1 species